rnacentral:misc_RNA from 1 species
GAUAAGAACGCAGCGAAAUGCGAUAAGUAAUGUGAAUUGCAGAAUUCAGUGAAUCAUCGAAUCUUUGAACGCAACUUGCGCCCUCUGGUAUUCCGGAGGGCAUGCCUGUUUGAGUGUCAUGUAGACUCAAUCCCUCGGGUUUCUGAGGAGGUUGGAUUUGGGUGCUUGCCUUCUGGCUCGCCUUAAAGGACUUAGCAGGAUAGCACUGUAGUCGACGUAAUAAGUCUCGUCGGUGAAAGUGUGAUGUCUGCUUACAGAUUGCCCUUGGGCACUUUUGACUCUGACCUCAAAUCAGGUAGGACUACCCGCUGAACUUAAGCAUAUCAAUAAGCGGAGGA